rnacentral:tRNA from 1 species
UCCCUGGUGGCUCAGAUGGCAAAGAAUCUGCCUGCAAUUCAGGAAACCCAGGUUCAAUCCCUGGGUGGGGAA